CGGAGGAAGUCAGCUCAGGCCUGGCCUGUCAGGCAAGCAGCCCAAGGGUAGACCCAAGCCCCGAUUCCUCUGUGUCUGCAGCUGCUCCUGGGACCACCCCAUGAGACAGAGCUACUGAGUCCCCCAGAGAGAUCUGAUGAUGUAUUCAAAGCAUCCGCCAUCGCAGCACAGAGCACUGCCUGCUCUCAGGAUGUCUGGAGUGGUGGGGACCGUCUUAUCAAGUGUUUGGCCCCCGAGGAUUGUCAACAACAUGUUGUUUGCGGGCUGGAGUAAGGCAGAGAUGGGCCUGGUUGGGGGAGACGGAGGGGAAUCUGGCCAUACUGAGAAAGGAUAGCCGCCCAGAUGGGGUCAGGAAGGCUUCAGCCUCUGAUAGAAGGCAGCCCAGGCAUGCAUGGUCCAGGCCCAGCCCCCUUCUGCCUGUCCAUAGUGUCCUGCCUGGGAGAGAAUCUGCUUCAUGGACCUCCACACUUCUGCAGGGACACAUGUGGGACAGCCACAGCACCCCCUUUCUCCAUCUCCUGUAUUCUCCUUAACAGAGCAAAGAAAUUAGCAUGAAACUGUAAAAGUCUGCAAACACCGUGGGGAGGCAUGGACCUAGCAAGAGUGAGCCUUGGAACUCCAUCCCCUGUAACACCCAAUAAAUAAGUGAACACAUAAAUAAAUAAAUAAAUAAAUAAAUAAAUAAAUAAAUAAAUAAA